ACCCUUUUGUAACUCACAAACGUGAUGACUGGAUGUUCAGGCGCCUGUGUCAGACGUGCCUCCCCUCAAACUUUACUACACUGGCACAUUACCUAGCUGAAG